rnacentral:rRNA from 1 species
CACGCUGUAAACGAUGUCGAUUUGGAGGUUGUUCCCUUGAGGAGUGGCUUCCGGAGCUAACGCGUUAAAUCGACCGCCUGGGGAGUACGGCCGCAAGGUUAAAACUCAAAUGAAUUGACGGGGGCCCGCACAAGCGGUGGAGCAUGUGGUUUAAUUCGAUGCAACGCGAAGAACCUUACCUACUCUUGACAUCCAGAGAAUUUAGCAGAGAUGCUUUAGUGCCUUCGGGAACUCUGAGACAGGUGCUGCAUGGCUGUCGUCAGCUCGUGUUGUGAAAUGUUGGGUUAAGUCCCGCAACGAGCGCAACCCUUAUCCUUUGUUGCCAGCACGUUAUGGUGGGAACUCAAAGGAGACUGCCGGUGAUAAACCGGAGGAAGGUGGGGAUGACGUCAAGUCAUCAUGGCCCUUACGAGUAGGGCUACACACGUGCUACAAUGGCGUAUACAAAGAGAAGCGACCUCGCGAGAGCAAGCGGAACUCAUAAAGUACGUCGUAGUCCGGAUUGGAGUCUGCAACUCGACUCCAUGAAGUCGGAAUCGCUAGUAAUCGUAGAUCAGAAUGCUACGGUGAAUACGUUCCCGGGCCUUGUACACACCGCCCGUCACACCAUGGGAGUGGGUUGCAAAAGAAGUAGGUAGCUUAACCUUCGGGAGGGCGCUUACCACUUUGUGAUUCGUGACUGGGGUGAAGUCGUAACAAGGUAACCA